CCCCACCAACUCCUGUCAGAGUUUCUUACAGAGUUUUGCAUCUGUUGGCAUGAAGUGACUCCAGAGAGAUUAAUCCACAAGUUUUCACUUUGAAAUCAACUUCUCUGCAUGGUUAUAAGCACUGAGGUGCACAGAGGUCAUCGUGAUUUUGCUAAGAGAGAUCCCUGAGAGGUCAGAUACACAAGUCCUCAGGAAUACUGCGAAGGUAGAAAGUUUGGAACAGCAAGUGAUUAUCAGCGAUGACCUUGGAUGAGGUGUUUUUCCUGUGGAGAAGCUCAGCUCUUGCUUAAUGAAGUUUUUCUUUUCGUUU